GCAGAGGGGAGGGGAGGGAGUGUGUGAGCGCGUGUGUGCGCGGCUCGCGCUCUCCGCUGUCUCCUGUCGGCGGCGCCCGUGGCGGCGUGCCGUGUCGUGUCGCGCGCGUGCUGUGAGGUGUCUGAUUGGCGCUGAGGCUGAGCGAGGGGCAAACAGAAGGCGCGAGAUCCCGCUCCUGAUUGGCUGCCAGCCAACGAGAGAGCGAGCGAUAGAGAGACAUAAGAAAAGAGCGGGGAGGGAGAGCUGAGUGAAGAGCAGACUAAUGGAAUAUUUACUACAAUUUGUGUGUGUGCUUAUUAUAAUUUCACAUGUAUUUGAGACACAUCUGAAACAAAAAAGUAUAAAAUACAAAAUGUUGAAUUUAGUGUUGGUAAAAUGUUACUUUGUUUCCUGUCAGUAAAGUGUCUGUUACGCGUUAAAACUUGAGAUGUUCAAACUAAAACAAAUCGGUCAUUCUGAAAACGUUUUGUGCUUAGUUGCGUUAAACUGUUGUUUAAGUCAGCUGCCAGAGGAUUAACCCCGUGUUUACAUCCAUAACUAUUUAACCUGUGAAUCAGGUCUGAACAAAAACUAAACAGCAGAGGAAGUUUUUCCACUGUUCCUGUCACCUCUGCACUUUUAAGGGUCUUUACUUUUACAUAUUCCAGAUGAUAGAAUGUAACUUUGAGUGAUUAUUACUAAGUUUAUUUUAUCUAUUUAACUCACAUAUGAAUCAGGACCCCUAUUUCAAUUCUGAUUUAUGUCUAUAAAUGUAUUACUUUGAUCUGUUUUUAAAAAUCUCACUUGCGCAUAUCGACGUUUGAGAUGUUUGUUGUUACAAAAAAUGAUUAUUUGUCGUUUGCAGAAAUUAAAUUAAUGCUGACAAGAUGAGUCAGAAGAAUUUCUACAACUGAGAUUAUUCAGUUAAUUGAAUACUUACUUAAUAUCCACAGUGUCAAGUUGAAUUUAGUAAUUAGGACCAAAAUAUCCAACAUGUUAAUUGUCUUAUUGGAGAAUAUUAUUAUUAUUUGCUCACUCUUGUCAACAUAGACCGGCCAGACAACAGAACCACUGUCUUUGCAUGCAAGGGAGCUGGGCCCAAUUCAUGUCUGAUGCAGAGUCUCUGAGGUAUAAGUUCUAAAGUUCCUUCUUUAACUGGGUAACAAACACACUGUUGACUGCAGCCCUCACACUCCUUCCUGCUCCACCAACAGUAUCAAUUGUGCUGCUGGGAAAUAGAGGCGCAUGCAUCAGCUCCCUGUGCUCCGUCAUGCUGAUUGUCACUAACAUGCAGUUACACGGCGUUAAAGCCUCACUGAUCCACUAUCUUCCUGCUGCAGCCUGUCCAUCACCGCGGACCGGCCGCGCGCCCUCCGGUGACGGACACAUCAGUCACCUGCGCGCGGCGCCGUCCUCCCAUCGCUCAGUGUUUAUCUGUGACAGCAAGCAGCCGCGUCUUCCUCCAAAUCCAAACCAGCGGCUGCGGAGUCAACGCGACUACGUCUCCGCUGAUGAUGUGAGUGAAACAGCGCUGGGAGCCUGAGCGGCAGCUUCUGAAUGAGUCGUCCAUAAACUGUGUGUGUGUGUGUGUGUGUGUGUGUGUGUGUGUGUGUGUGUGUGUGUGUGUGUGUGUGUGUGUGUGUGUGUGUGUGUGUGUGUGUGUGUGUGUGUGUGUGUGUGUGUGUGUGUGUGUGUGUGUGUGUGUGUGUGUGUGUGUGUGUGUGUGU